CUACGUGCCAGCAGCCGCGGUAAUACGGAGGAUGCGAGCGUUAUCCGGAUUUAUUGGGUUUAAAGGGUGCGUAGGCGGCCUGUUAAGUCAGCGGUGAAAUCUAGGAGCUUAACUCCUAAAUUGCCAUUGAUACUGGCGGGCUUGAGUGUAGAUGAGGUAGGCGGAAUGCGUGGUGUAGCGGUGGAAUGCAUAGAUAUCACGCAGAACUCCGAUUGCGAAGGCAGCUUACUAAGGUACAACUGACGCUGAAGCACGAAAGCGUGGGUAUCAAACAGGAUUAGAUACCCUGGUAGUCCACGCAGUAAACGAUGAUAACUGGGCGUAUGCGAUAUACAGUAUGCUCCUAAGCGAAAGCGUUAAGUUAUCCMCCUGGGGAGUACGCCGGCAACGGUGAAACUCAAAGGAAUUGACGGGGGCCCGCACAAGCGGAGGAACAUGUGGUUUAAUUCGAUGAUACGCGAGGAACCUUACCCGGGCUKAA
rnacentral:rRNA from 1 species